rnacentral:lncRNA from 1 species
GAAUUUUCAUGUCUCAUUAAGAGAGAUCAUGUGGAUUUCCUCUGUCAUAAAAACUACAAAUUCAGCAUGAAAUCUAAUCACCACAGAAUAAUAUUCUGGUGUCAUUUUUAUAAUUCUGAGUAAAAGCUGGAGGUUUUCAAAUUUCUAAACCCUGCUGGACAGAAGGCAGUUUUCCAAGCAGGGUUCGGCCAUGCUAACUGUUGAAUAGGAAAACUAAUUAGCAUCCUGUGUGAAUUAUCUUGUCUUUUUUUUUUUUUUUUUUUUUUUUUUUUUUUUUUUGGGACCGGAAAUCAAAUGGGAAGGGUUCCCUCCUGUUCCAAGUGAGUUCCAGAAGAAUUACUCAUGCUCCUUAACCUAUGAGUCAGACAGGAGUCUAGGAGAGUGUUUCCAAAACAGGCCGACAAUAAGAUAAACAAAGCAAUUGAUAUGUGACAGUGUGGAGAAGCAGGGUUGCAAUUGGCCAAAGCAAGUGAUGGGGUCUAGAGCAAGAUGACAGCAAGCAAACCCAGGAUGGCGGCACGGCCCCAGGGACACUCUGGAGGACCAGAGCUCUGCACACCAGCUUAGAGCAUUUCCUGAAACAAUCACAGUUUUGAUCUUCGUGACCAGCUCACUCAGGUGUGCAGAUGGCAGCACAGUAUUCCAGCCAAGAGAACAAGGUCAGCAGAAGAUGAAUGAUGCAGGGGUUUGUGUGCGAUCACAAGCCCAUAGCCAGCUAUUCCGUAAGCCUGGGCUUCGGUCUCUCCGAGCCCCCAGCGGUUAAGUCCUGUGCUCAGCCUGUACCGAAAGCAUCUCCAGCCACAGAUGCCACUGCCACCUCUGGUCAGCACCCGGCACAGUCCACAGCACCAUGUAGGCGGUCAGGUAAUGUUUGUUGAAUGAAUGUCUAACCCAAGAUAUGCAUAC